ensembl:lncRNA
CAUUCACUGAUCAGUAUAAUGAAGAAAUAAUGGGUAGACACGGGCAAUAUGUUUGGCGUAUGCAAGAAAGUGACAUGACAGUGAUACGGUGCAGAGGCAGAGGAUGAACGAAACACCGAGAGCCGUCCAACGUGGAACUGAAAUUGACUGCUGCUCUCAUAUGCCCUAUUAUCGGCUUUGACACAAACCUGUGUGCAGGACUUACACACAGAGGUCUUACUCUGAAACCUUUGUGGGUGAAUGAAUAUGAAAACAAGCCCCUGCUGCCCACAGAUACAGCAUUACUGCGUUGCAUGGUGGUUACUUGCAAGUGACUUCACUAUCCUUCCGACAAGAAAUGUAAUCAAACGGGCUUUUGAAAGCUGUGGAGAGCUGAUAUUUUCUGAAUACUUCUGCUGAAAAACCCCUGAUCAACUCUAUAAAUGCUUAUGCUCUGUUGGCAGAAGCCUGACUUCGACUCACGCCAAAGGGAUCUGCCUGGAGGGCUAUAAACCAAACAGGAGUUAUGGCACCUGGAUUCUAUAGCUGCUAAGGUGACGAGUAUAAAAAGCACACACUUCAGCCAGCUGAAGAUGACAGAAUCAGCAUUUCUCUGAUAGGAAUGACAUCACAGUGCACCACGUGUAGGCUCUGAGGCCUUAGGUAGGAGACGGUCUACAAAUUAGGAACAAUAAAAAGAGCACUUCAUACAUGAGUUCACCUUCCCCUGGUGAUAAUACAUGCCAGGCACUGUUUUUCAUGCCUGCAUCAAGUCAGCAAUGGCUUUCCACCCCAGCGUGCUCAGAGCAGUGGGGAGGCAUGAAAGUAGUGCAUAGCUCUCACUCCAAACACCCAGCCCCUUCCAGCUGUACUGAGCUCCCUGGGACUUAGCACUGGUUAUCUAACAGAUAUCUCUAACCAGGAAUUCUCAGUGUCUUUUGGCACCCUUAUCCUAUCUCACUUCGUAAUCCGUUGCCCUGCAACACUUGUGUAACUCAAUUCACUGCCUGCUGUACAAGAGCACGCUCCGUAGAAAGAGGCCCAGCAGUGCAGGUGAAUAUUAAACUCCCACUGGUCACAUCCAGACAGUUCUUUCUUCCAGGAUUUGACAGCACUGAUAGCAUUUACGCCCGUUUCAAAUCCUUUCACAGAAGUUCAGAUUCAUCCCCUGCUACAACCAGACAUUAAAUAGCUACAGUGGCCUUUACUGAUCUCCCAGUGGCUCAACAUCAGUAGACAUGCUUUUACGUUUUUGUCAGCACAGUCUUCUCUAGGACUGAAACUGCCCUUGAAGCCUUUGCCCACUGCUGUCACACAAGACAAA